rnacentral:rRNA from 1 species
AGAGCGAACGCUGGCGGCAGGCCUAACACAUGCAAGUCGAACGGACCCUUCGGGGUUAGUGGCGGACGGGUGAGUAACACGUGGGAACGUGCCUUUAGGUUCGGAAUAGCUCCUGGAAACGGGUGGUAAUGCCGAAUGUGCCCUUCGGGGGAAAGAUUUAUCGCCUUUAGAGCGGCCCGCGUCUGAUUAGCUAGUUGGUGGGUAAUGGCCCACAAGGCUACGAUCAGUAGCUGGUCUGAGAGGAUGACCAGCCACAUUGGGACUGAGACACGGCCCAAACUCCUACGGGAGGCAGCAGGUGGGGAAUCGUUGCGCAAGUGGGACGAAAGCCUGACGCAGCCAUGCCGCGUGUAUGAUGAAGGUCGUUAGUAUUAGUAAAAUUACUUACAACCGGU